GAAGCUAAUACCUGAUAAUAUUUCGAACCGCAUGCUUCGAUAGUGAAAGAUGGCUUUGCUAUCACUUAUAGAUGGACCUGCGCCGUAUUAGCUAGUUGGUAAGGUAACGGCUUACCAAGGCAACGAUACGUAGCCGACCUGAGAUGGUGAUCGGCCACACUGGAACUGAGACACGGUCCAG
rnacentral:rRNA from 1 species